ensembl:lncRNA
AACCAUACAAGAACAGGGAGCAAUCUGUUGGUUUUCUUCCUAGAAUACUACUCUCUCCCUCUCUCCAUCUGGUUCCUCUGGUUGCCAGGAUACAGCCUUGUCUUUGACAGCACAUCGGUGCGAAGAAAUGGACCUACAAGUCUUUUACCUGUUAUAUUACUUCUUAGUAAGCAAUAAUAUAGCUGCUUAUCUGAUGAAUGUCAUGCGUACCAGUGUAUUUAGCGCACUUAAUAAUCCUUUGAAGUAUGUGCUACUACAACUGUUCCCUUUACGAGUGAGUAAAAUGAGACUCAGAGGUAAGUAAUUUUUUUUUUUUUGGUACUGGGGAUCGAACUCGGGUCCUUGUGCUGGCGCAGCAGGUGGUGAAACCACUGAGCUAAAUCCCCAGCCCAGAGGUAAGUGAUUUGCCCAAGGUAAUAAAGCCUUCCCUUAGCUAUUAGGGAAAGGCUACAUGAAGGCAAAGACUGUAUUUAGUCUGUGGCAUUCCCCAUGUUACUUCUUUGUGCUCUCAGUACGAGUAUUAUUAGGGCUAUAAGAACUCCCCUUUAUUGGUAGCUUACCCUGUGCCAGGCCUUCAUGAGAUCCUCAGCAUGUCUCUACUAGCCAAGUUUUAUUGCCGCUACUAACAGGUGCGGAAACUAAGGUUAGCAAGAUUUAACCUCUAGUUACAUCACAUCACUGGUAAAUAGUGGCCCCAGGGUUUGGACUUGGGUCUGUCCUGACUCCACCUGUAGGGCUCCUAAGUUAUGCUGCCCCCACACCCCUGCCUCCCAGCCAUCUGACCCCUCUCCAUCUCAUUCACCUUCCUGCUUGGAUCCAUCCUCCCACUGCCUCAGUCUCUACCAGAAUCUGAGUCCUGGAGGCUCAGUCUGUUUCGUAACCCACUAGACGAGUUGGUUUCCUGUUGCACAAUCACAGUGCAGGCGGAGGAAAUUGUCCAUAUUCCCUGCCCUGGCCCUACGAUCUGCACCCUCUCACUUCAAGUUGUCAUCUUCUAGUAUCCUGUUGCCUUCUAGUGUUCCAACAAGAACACCUGAAGCAGACUUCCGACCUCUUGAAAUUUAUUUAAGAGGCCAGACAACAAAAAGCAGAGAAACACUACCAGCUGAGAGCCUUACCAGGUUCAAGGUGGAAGGCGAGAACCACAGCCCACACUCCUCUUAGGUGUGCACAGCAGCUGUCAUGAUGCACCGGAGUCAGACCCAAUGGUGAACACCUGGAAGACGAGUUUUACACCUUUACUUAGUGCCUAGCAUAGUGUCGGAAUGGUUCUAUUGAACCAUCCUGGGACAAACAUGGGAACCCCAGAGCUGAGGAAGACCUGAGCUCGUUCUGGAGGUAGUGAGAAAUGGAGAAGCCACGAGCCCUGGCCCAUGAGGACCUGGAGCUUGACCACGUUCUGCCAUUGAGAGUCUGUGUGUGCCACUGGGAGUAAGUGUGAAAAUUCCCUUAUAGCCACCUCUGCGCCUUGUCAUUGCCUCUCACCUCCCCGACGCCCCCCACCUUGAAAAUCAACAUUACUAAGCUUCACUUUGGAAGGUCCUUUCUUUUCUCCCCGUCCUCCUUUUUCUUCUUCUCCUUCUCCUUCUUUAUUUUUAAAAACCCAAUUUUAUUUUCCUGAAGCAACAUCAAAGCACAAAACAAAUCCACCCGCUUACAAGGCCAACCUCUAACUAUCCGAAGAACAUGUUGGUUUCCACGUUAGGGUUGCUUUGCUCCAGGAUAAACCGAGUCCCUAUGUGACAUUUCCCAAGCCCCCUCCUGCCUGCCCACCCUCCUCAGAGAUUAUACCUGGGCUGGUCCAGGGCUACUUAAAAGGUGCCUGGAGUGGACACCGGGGUCCUGUGUUCCAGCCA